AUGGACAUAAAGACCAGACUGCUGCUUACUUUAAUAUUCUGGGGAGGUGUUGAUGGUCAGACUCUGGUAGAAUUUGACCCAGCAGUCAAAAGGCCAGGAGAGUCCCACAGACUGACCUGUGCAGCCUAUGGAUUCACACUCUCAGCUACAACAUGCACUGGGUCAGACAGGCUCCUGGAAAAGGACUGGAAUGGGUUGCUGAAGUUACUGCUAGUGGUAGCAGCAAAUACUACUCUCAGUCAGUCCAAGGCCGCUUUACCAUCUCCAGAGACAACAGCAGACAGCAGGUGUAUCUGCAGAUGAACAGCCUGAAGACUGAAGAUUCUGCUGUUUAUUAUUGUGCUUGA